rnacentral:lncRNA from 1 species
UAAUCCCGGUUACUUCAAAAGGUAAUUUGUCUCAAUUGAUUCUUGCCCACGAUUUUCCUGCGGUACACCGAAUAAAAUAUAUUAGGAAGAUCUUAUUUCUAUAUUUCAUCCCUGUCUACCAUUAACUCUAAAUAUUUUAAGAGGAUUGUCUGCGUGAUUAGCAAACUUAAAUUGUUUCUUUAUGUGCUACUGAACAACUUUAUUCUCUAAAUAAUUAUU